AUGUCGACAUGCACCUCGGAUCUCUCAUCCUCACGGCCUUCCUGGGGCAACUGCUGGGCACCAUGGGACAGACCACUGUCACCCAGCAAGAAGCACAAGUCACAGUGAAGCAGGGAGACACCUUCCAGACAACAUGCACAUACCAGACCUCCUACUUUCAAGGCUUGCUCUGGUACCAGCAGAGGAAAGGCCAAGGUCCCCAGCUGGUCUCCCAUCAGGCAACUGCUGGCCGCAAGCCCAGUGGCCGUCUCACCACCGUGCUGAACACCAUGGAGAAAUACAGCCUCCUGCAGCUGGAGGAAGUCGAGCUCUCUGACAGUGCCUUGUACCUCUGUGCUGUGCAAGACACAGUGCACUGGAGCAGCCGGGAGAGCCAGAGGAGUGGUGGCAGAAGGCUGUGCCCAGCACUGCACAGGCACCGGGAGGACAAGCCUUGUGCCCGGAGAGGCUCUCAGAAAGGCUGGCAUUCAGUUCCCCCCAACUGGGACCUGCCUCCCGUGGAAGGAGUCCCUCUCCCAGCUGUGGUCUGCAAGGGCAGCAUCAGGAAGCAAGGUGCCAGCCAGACGAGUUUGUUAGAAAUCUUCUCAGAAAGCGGCUGCAGCAUUGCUUAG